AUGAAGGUCCCCAUACAGCUCCUGGUGUUGCAGCUGCUAUGGCUUAUAGGUGCUAGAUGUGACAUCCAGAUGACCCAGUCUCCAUCCUCCCUGUCUGCAUCUGUGGGAGACACUGUCACCAUCACAUGCCGGGCAAGUCAGGAGAUUUAUAGUUUAUCAUGGUAUCAGCCGAAACCUGGAAAUCCUCCUAAGCUCCUGAUCUAUGGUAUAAACAUCUUGGAAGAUGGUGUCCCACAGAGGUUCAGUGGCAGUGGAUCUGGAACACAGUUUUCUCUCAAGAUCAGCAGCCUGCAGGCUGAAGAUAUUGCAGCAUAUUACUGUCAACAGGGUCGUUAUUAUCCUCCCGCAGUGAUACAAGUCAUGACAUAA